rnacentral:rRNA from 1 species
GAUGAACGCUAGCUACAGGCUUAACACAUGCAAGUCGAGGGGAAACGAUAGAGAAAGCUUGCUUUUUCUAGGCGUCGACCGGCGCACGGGUGAGUAACGCGUAUCCAACCUGCCCAUCACUUGGGGAUAACCUUGCGAAAGUAAGACUAAUACCCAAUGAUAUCUCUAGAAGACAUCUGAAAGAGAUUAAAGAUUUAUCGGUGAUGGAUGGGGAUGCGUCUGAUUAGCUUGUUGGCGGGGUAACGGCCCACCAAGGCGACGAUCAGUAGGGGUUCUGAGAGGAAGGUCCCCCACAUUGGAACUGAGACACGGUCCAAACUCCUACGGGAGGCAGCAGUGAGGAUAUUGGUCAAUGGACGAGAGUCUGAACCAGCCAAGUAGCG